UGUCUACUCCCUCUGUCCCAAAAUACUUGACUUCCAUUUGUCCAAAAAUGGAUGUACCUAGAUACUAAAACAUGUCUAGAUACAUAUAUAUUUUGACAAAUAGAAGGCAUGUAUUGUGCAACGGAGGGAGUAGAAU
rnacentral:pre_miRNA from 1 species